rnacentral:rRNA from 1 species
UACAGAGGGUGCGAGCGUUAAUCGGAAUUACUGGGCGUAAAGCGUGCGCAGGCGGUUUUGUAAGCCGGAUGUGAAAUCCCCGGGCUUAACCUGGGAACUGCAUUUGUGACUGCAUCGCUGGAGUGCGGCAGAGGGGGGAUGGAAUUCCGCGUGUAGCAGUGAAAUGCGUAGAUAUGCGGAGGAACACCGAUGGCGAAGGCAAUCCCCUGGGCCUGCACUGACGCUCAUGCACGAAAGCGUGGGGAGCAAACAGG